rnacentral:rRNA from 1 species
GACGAACGCUGGCGGCGUGCUUAACACAUGCAAGUCGAGCGGAAAGGCCACUUCGGUGGUACUCGAGCGGCGAACGGGUGAGUAACACGUGAGUAAUCUGCCCCUGGCUUUGGGAUAGCCACCGGAAACGGUGAUUAAUACCGGAUAUGACCACUUCACGCAUGUGAUGGUGGUGGAAAGUUUUUCGGCCAGGGAUGUGCUCGCGGCCUAUCAGCUUGAUGGUGAGGGAAUGGCUCACCAUGGCUUCGACGGGUAGCCGGCCUGGGAGGGUGACCGGUCACACUGGGACUGAGACACGGCCCGGACUCCUACGGGAGGCAGCAGUGGGGAAUAUUGGACAAUGGGCGGAAGCCUGAUCCAGCAACGCCGCGUGAGGGAUGACGGCCUUCGGGUUGUAAACCUCUUUCGCCUGUGACGAAGCGCAAGUGACGGUAACAGGUAAAGAAGCACCGGCCAACUACGUGCCAGCCGCCGCCGUAAGAC